GUUCUACUGCGACGUUGGUGACUGCCAAUAAUGUUUUUUUGAUCUAUAACUCUUAACUCUCGGGAAUCAAGAUGUUUGGACAGCAGUAAACUGGGCUUGUACCCAGAAACUUUAAGUCCGAGCCAACGGUACCCACCUGGUAAAAUACCAGGUCAAAAGCUGAGGUAAGACGGCGUUGCGGGGAGCCA
rfam:Oscillatoria nigro-viridis PCC 7112, complete genome.